UGGGAAGACAUUAAUCAAUAAAGUUUUGAGAAGACACUAUCUAUUAAGAAUAAAUUACAUUCUUCAUCAUUACAUGAGGUAAAAAAUAUUUUAUUACAAAUUCAUGGGUAAACAGUGUCUUGGUAUCCACAUGCCUGGAUAACAUGUAAAGCAUGAUAGUAGUAAAUCUCCUAUCUGCAAAUAUUUUAAUGACUACAAUGUGCACUGAAUUUACCACCACAGGACAUUCAUUUCAUUCAUUUGGUUUGUUGAUGGUUAUAUUCCACGCCCCCACCGUGGAGCCACCGUGGACCAUCGGGGCUAUGAUCACUCCCCCUUGCUGAGCUGAUAUUGCAGGUGCAGCAGUAGCAGGUGUCACAGCAGGAGAAGAGGUGGAGGGUGCAGAUGUUUCCCUCGCUGCAAGAGACAAGAAGGAGGUGCAGAAAAUGAGUAUAUGUGAAGAAGGUUUGUAAUAAAUAGUUUGUUUUAGGUGAGUGUACCUGUGUGUGCUUUCUUUAACUCUUCUGCAGCACUGUUUAUCCUCAUGUUCCUCAGGAUUUUGACAGUAACGUCCACAGCCAGCUCUUCGCCAUAGCAUUCUAUCAUCUUACUGACAGUUUCAGGCCGGAGCGCCUUCUCCAGACGACUUUUAGGAAUGGGUUCACAGCUGUCCAAGACCCUCAUUGAGAGGUACCACUUAAAUGUUUUGAAGUACUCAUCAACCAGGUCUUCCAGAGCACCAAGGAGCAGCAGUGGAACAUUCAUGUCUGCUUACUGAACAGGGAGAGGUUAGAGAAGUUAGUAACUGUGGAGUUCUAUCUGUACUAAAACUGACCAACGUUUUGGUACAUCACUGUGACAUCACAAAACAAUAUGGUGGACGUGAAAUACACUCAAUAGUGCACUAUACAAAUACUUAAAAAUCAUCAUACAAUUAUGCAUAUUACAUUAUUAUAAAAAUGAUAUAUACUAUAAUAAUAAUAUAUAUCAUUACUUCUCCGGACUGGUAUUUUUAGAGGCCGUCAUUUCACCUUAAACACAUCGUACAUAUUUAAACUCAUUAGGGAGUGCUGCUGUGGCUUAUUUAUCACUGAACCAUGUCUCAAUCUCAGCAUUUGUGGCAUUUAUAAUAUUAAAGAUGUUUAUAAUGAUUAUUACCAACACUUGUGUGGUACAUAUAGUUAGCCAUGUUAACAUAAAUUACACUUGUGACACAGAAUCAGUCUAAGCAGCAAAGGAAACUUACCAGAAAUUAGACUAAUAUAAUUUCUGUAUUAUUAUAAUAACAUGUCAGCACAUUGUCAGACAUUUUAAUAGAAACAUUAACAUUAUUAGUACUUUUAUUGACUUUUUAGUGUUAUUUUUCUCCUGACUAAGGGGGAACAACAUCCGUUCAAAUACAAAUUCAAACAUUUCCUCUGGAAAAUGAGUUUGUGUCCAUACAAGCUCAGAAUUAAAAGGACGGAGGACACAGGGCCUACACAUGAGACCAGGCCCUGCUCCAAAACAUCUGUGCUGUGAAAAGUCAAACCUGUCCUAGUUUACACUAGGCUAAGACUCUUCAAAAGUUUCAGGACCGAAUCGAUCGAUCGGUCUCCUGGAGUUAAAAAAAUCAUCCACGCAUGAUUCCAACUCCAACAAAUGGCUCCUGGUGCGAGUAAACACCACAGACCGAACACCAGGUAGAUGAUUAAUCUGCAGAUCCACUUUGUGGAAGUGGCGCCACUACACCACAAUCAAAGAGUCAUUAAAAAGACCACAACAGAGAAUUUACCGUUAAUCCAACCACGCACCAGAUGACACAGAGCCUGCAGGCGAAAUCUAGAAAAUGGCGCAAACCAGCGGGGUACUUUCGAUUUCUGCGCUUUUUACAGGAAGUGUGCAUCCGUCCAGUGCCAAGCAGCAGAU
ensembl:lncRNA